AUUGGUGAGAUAGUGAUUGUUAGCUGCUUUGCGAUUGUCUUGGUCAGAAUAUUGGAUGGGGCCUCUCCUCCCUCUAUAAAGGGCAGCUGAGUGGAAGCGGAUGGAAGGUGGUGGGUGCUGGUGGUGCUGAUGCUGGAAAGGAAAACCCCUGGGAAGCGAACUGUGAGAGUCUACUAGAGAAGCAACAGACAAUGACGUGCCUUCCAGAGCUGGAGCAAGACAGAGCAGUGCUGGAUCUAAGGUGCUGUGUUUGACAACUCUUAGCCUCUGGAAGAUGUUUUUUUUUAAGGCAAUCUGUUCCUAUCCUUAAUUAGUUGACCUGGAAUAUAAUUCAUCCACAUGGCCAGAAAAGGAACAACAGAUCCCCAGGUGCCAAUGGCUUGACCAAAAGUUAUCUGAGAUGUCUUCAAAACUGAGUGACUUCAUGUUAACUGGACAAAGUAGCUACAGCAUGAAAAACAAUGGACAAAAAAGAGCCUGCACUGUGGUCACUUGGCUUUCUGCGUUUACAUUUCCAUUUAUUGUGUUCAUUAAGUGCAUGUAACAAGAAUCUCCACAGGCUUUGGUGUACAGAGGGUUACCAAAUUGUUUUUUGUAUGUGGACUUCCAAUUAAAAUUUCCAAUUUCCAGGUCCACUGCUUUGUCUCUACGAGCUCCAAAGAGAACCAAAAGCGGGGAGAAAUGGCUCCACAAAUUUCAGCCUCUGUACUUAUUACAAUCUGGUUAGGAGGCUCCUGCUAUUCACCGGCUUAGAAAACAAUUUGAAAUUCAAAUUAAAGUGGCUGUGAGGGAGCUAUAGUCUCGUUCUUCUGUACAGAAGUGUGUCUGCAGAGCUCUGCAAGAAAGCAUAAAAGCUUUGACAAUGAUCAGUCUCUCAGUUCUGGGUUACAGGCCCUUCCCUGGGGUACCUCAUGUUUGAGACACAAGAAGGGACAGCUCCGUUCAGCUUCCUGCCAUUGGAAGGGUGUCCGUGUGCUAUUUCUUCAGCAUUCAGGAGUUGAGAACUGCAGAGGAGCUGUGGCCAAACUCACUCCCAGGCAUCCCCAGCAAUUUUCAGCUUUCUUAGUAUUUUGAGCAUUUCCCCAUGUGAAGAAGGAAGAAAAGGACAAAUGGCUAAAAAGAAUUACUGAAUUGGUACUGAAGUGGUACUCAUGAACCAGGGUACAUCUUCAGGCAUUCUCUAAAGUCCAUGCAAAUAUUAAGGACUUGGUGUUAAUUAACCUACUCUCUGUUCAUCUUCACAGCUUGUGCACACUUAGAGGCCAAGUUCAAAGUCAAGUAGCUAAAUGGUCCUAAGGAAAAACAUGCAGUUUUCAAACUCAGCCAAGAAGAUACCUGAAGUCAAGUCAGAUCUGUGGUGAAUGUAUAUUACAGCUCUUGACUUUACAUUGUGACAGGGAAUGUUGCACCCCUGAAGACAAAAACUUCUGCUUCUUAAAUAAAUAGUUUUAAAAAAAUGCCUUGUAGAAAGUGUGUGUGUGUGUAUAGUAGGUAAUGUCUGCAGUUCUUAGGGAACUGACUGAAUUACGGUAAUUCACUAUUUCAGGCAUCUUUGUUCUUGCAGUGCAAAGAACAUUUCUGCAGCUGCAAGACAUUGGUUAGAAAGAUGUCCCUGUGCUUUGCUAAGAGGAGAAAACGUGGGCUAAGAUUCAUUGAAUUUGUCAAUCCUCUCCCCAGUUACACUCAGCAGAGAAAGCUGCUUCUAAAAGAAGCUUAAAAUAAGAGCUCUUCAAUGAUUAAUUAUUAAAAUGCAGAUUGUUAGGCUGGAAUUCUAAUAACUGUAAUUUGAAGCCAUCUGUCUGACACAGCUAACUCUAUCAUUAAAUUCUUUCUAAAAAUUGUUCUUCAAAAACCAGAGAGAGUGCUGAGCAGAUCGGAUGGAAGGAAAGGAAUGCAUAAUGGAGCUUUUUCUCACAGCUGACUGUUGCUACCUGCAUGCUGUGCUCAAGCCAUCCAAGCCCUGUGGGGGAACCAGUGUGUCCUGUGCCCAGUGCUUCACUGCUGAGGCCAUUGUCUGCAGUACAGCCAUGGGCUGGGUAGCAGGAAUCAGGCAACCAUGUUAAGGCAUUAAGCAAGCAGAACAUAUUUUGUAAUUAAGGUGUAAUAAAGGAUUCAGAGCUCUUAGUAUCUCCUGUAGUAGGAUAUACUGCUAUCUAAUAAGAUAUUAUUGUAGGGAUUGUUCUUACUGAUGUUACAAUGGAUGAGAAGAGUGACUUAUUUUCAUGCAUCUGGAAGGUGAUACUUGACACUUUUCAUUAAUGUUGAGACACUACUGCAGUAAUGUUUCUGAAUGAGAAUGAUAAUUAGGCCAAGGGACACUAUGAGUAAAAAUGUAGGAAUUUCUGGAUAUGCACAUGUGAGCGUACACACCCUUCCAUGCAUGCUAUGUAUACAAAUAGCUUUUUUGUACAGUAUUUUUAAUGUAUCUCUCUUCAUUUUAUCUCUUGUAACUCUUGUGGAAGUGUGUUCUUUUUUACCCUUGGCUAAUCACACAGCUUAUGUACUCAUACUAUGCAUCCCACAACAGUAAAAUACAGAUCUGCUGUGGUUUUUAGUAGUACUUUACCUACAUUUGGGAAGUUCUUAGACAUGUAAAUCAGAGAACAGGUGUAAUUCUGCCUACAAAUGCAUACACAUGCAUCUGGGACCAUAAUGCCAAAGGUAAUUUGUUGGUUAAAAAUCAUUUUACUGUUUUAUUUGUUUAUUAUAUAUAUCAGGAGUGGAGGUGGUCAGAAAUGAUAAACCAAACUCAGAACAAGAAAAGCUCCUGUGAUAAAAAUUAUAGUAGGUGCAGAUGGCCAUAGUUUAGGAUUGCUUGGAGAAAUGCUAAAUCCUUCAGCAAUCAGUUCAUACUUGCUGGCAGGAGCAGGUCUCCUGCAAAGAUUGUGAGGUAAGUAGGUGUGCAAACAAGUGUAGAAAGAAACCAUGGAAGUGUCACUUUAUGCCCCUCUUACAGAAAGUUUAAGACAUCAGCAAGGCUACUAACCUCUUUAAAAACAGAAACUUUGAAUGUAAGAAACCUUUUUCCUUUCAGAAGGGAAAAGCUGGUGACAUAAAUAUGUGUUACCUAUUAUGUGGAGAUAUGUAUUAGGUAAUGAGUUUAUAGGACAACAGUGACUGUUUCCAAACAGCAGAACUGCACAUUGUUACAUAUUUUGGUUUUGUAUCUGGAAUACAAAUAUGGGUUGCCUCUGAGCACAACCACUGGAAUGCUGGACACAAUAACCUUGUGUUCAUGAAAAGAAAGAAAUACCUUUGAAACUCCUCAAGGUGAGGCCCUUUACCAUUUCUGUCUUGGAACAAGUCAGAUACUUCAGAUACAAGAGUGUUGGAACCCCACUAGCAGCAGCCUUCUAAAUUAUCUGUCCAGUGAGAGUUAUAAAACCUGAGGGCAGUUUGGACUGAAUUUAGGGAUGACUGGGAAAUCAGACAAAAAAUUUAGCAAUUCAGAUGCAAGAUGAACGACAUUUCUGCCCUUACUGAAGAGAAGAUCAAAAUAAUGAAACUUACUCUCAUGCCCAAACCUUGGCAACUGUGUAAACUGAAGAAUUAAGGCUUUUCUUUUCACUGUAGGUUAUUUGUCUCCAUCAGAAGGAACUUCCUAAAUAUUGUAGACCAGAACUAAAACAUGUGUUUCAAACACCUCUCAGUGAGUUGAAAAGCAUUGAUUUAGGGUUCUUUGGUUGUUAUUUUGUUUCAAAAGCUUUCAUUCUAUAAUAUUACAUCCAAAGCAAUGUGAAUGGGAGUCCAGCCUAGGCUAAUGGCCUUUGCAGAUGUUUUUUGUGUAUGAUAAUUAUUUUCACCUUAUUUAUGCUAUUGAGUCUAAUUCUAAAGACUGGUUAUAUAAUAACUGUUAUUAAUGUUUGUAAUUAUGAAAGAUAUGCAGUGGUAUUUUCUGAUUUGUUUAUAUUUCUAGGAAGAUGCCCUUUUCACAUUGUUAACGUGAAAGUCACCCCUAUUAGUAUGGUGUUCUACACUAAAAACAGUACUUGAAGCCAUGGUCAGAUUAAUAAUACAUAUAUCAUUAGCUACUUUCUGAUUAUGAUCCCAUGCUAGAACAGGACUUUCAUUCUGAAUAAAUAACAUAAUUUAAAUCCCACAGUGGCUCUGAGGUUUCCAGUUUCUUUCCUGUUUCAGAUGUGAUAUUUUACUAUGGGAAAGAGUAAAAAGAGCAAGGAAUUACGCACCCAGCCUUCCUCCCAGCUGCAUUCCAGGCAUGUAACAGGCAGCAGUCAUUGUCAGCAUAGACCACAUUAGGGAAAAUACAGACAUAAUACAGUCAUAAAUCAAGGAAAACAAAACAGCCCCAAAAUAAGAGCAGGGUAAAAUUAGGAGGUGGACAUAGCAGAAUGGAUUUGUGUCAGGUGGGAAUUUGAAUCAAAGUCUUGUAUAGUGUUUUGAGACCAACCAAAGCUGCAUCAGCCUGCUAGAGCAAAGCCUGUCCCAUCUAGAGGGUAGAAAUGUUGCUGCUCCUGUAAAUCACUGGAAAAUGAUUAAAAACACUCCCUGCCAUACUGCUGGCAGCAAGAGCCAUGGCUCAGCUCACUGGCCAUGUUUGUCACUCUUAAUUGGAAAACUCCCUUGGGUUUUAAGUGUGCAAAACUGUUUCUUUCUGCGAGUUAAGGUCAAAAAUGCUUCAUGCUUCUUAUGCUUAUUCUCUCGUAUAUAUAUGUAUAUAUAUAUAUAAAAAUCUGAGCUGGAGAUGCUACUAAGUCUUGUUUUAUGUACUGCACCCUGUA